rnacentral:lncRNA from 10 species
CUGGAAAGUCCUCCCGCCCACGGAGACCCCAGCAAACUCCGAGUGUCACACAGUCGCCUCUGGCGACCCGUGCGGGCCGGAGCCGUUCGCGCACAGGCAGGGCGGGUGCUGAGCGUGGAAACGGGGCUGGAAUUGGCCGAGCCAUGCCUUUCCGGGAUGCCCACCGCCAGUCAAAGGGUUGGGGGUGGUCUCUGCACCUUAAGUACUAACCUGCCGCCCACGCGCCUCCUGACCACAGCACCCCGUCGGCUUUCUAAUUCUGUGAGCUGCCCUCGUGGGCGUGGCCUCCCUGUGGAGCUCCCCAUGUGCCUCCCCUUGGUCCAGCCUGCAGCUAGGAAGUGGGUCACAGCGACGGGGCUGGGCUGGGCCAGGCCAGGCUCCGGGAGAUGUGGAAUUGGCGAAACAACUGCCCCAGUAGUAUCCUCCGCCUAGGACUCCAAGAGGUGGCGAAUUGGGGCACUACGCCCGGGAACCAGGGUGGCAGGGCUAGAUGUCCUCUCACCAGACUGCCCAGUGAAGGUGCUGUCACUUUGAUGAAUUAUCAAGGCUUUGUAGUGGGUCUUCUACUGGACAAAGGACAAACUGGAGACUCCCUGGAUCAAAUGUGUUGGUGAGGCACUGAAUCUGAUUGCUGAAAGGUGAUUCAGCUGCAAGUUAGGCAUCAGUUUAGGGUUUUCUAGGCUUGGCAUCUAAAGGGAGUGCCUGCUGUAGCUGAAACCUCAUAGGCCUUCUCUUCCUUCCGAAUUGUUUUCAAGGCCUUGGGGGUACAGAGACUUAGAGAAAAUACAUAGUUGUGCCUCAGACUGAUGGGCCUCAUCUGUUUAAUGGAGAAACACCAAGCACACUCAGUCUGGGCGGAAUUUUAGAGCUCCAUAGUAUAACCACUAUCUAGCUACAUGUGGCA